GAUGAACGCUGGCGGCGUGCCUAAUACAUGCAAGUCGAGCGAACAGAUGAGGAGCUUGCUCCUCUGACGUUAGCGGCGGACGGGUGAGUAACACGUGGAUAACCUACCUAUAAGACUGGGAUAACUACGGGAAACCGGAGCUAAUACCGGAUAAUAUAUUGAACCACAUGGUUCAAUAGUGAAAGACGGUUUUGCUGUCACUUAUAGAUGGAUCCGCGCCGCAUUAGCUAGUUGGUAAGGUAACGGCUUACCAAGGCAACGAUGCGUAGCCGACCUGAGAGGGUGAUCGGCCACACUGGAACUGAGACACGGUCCAGACUCCUACGGGAGGCAGCAGUAGGGAAUCUUCCGCAAUGGGCGAAAGCCUGACGGAGCAACGCCGCGUGAGUGAUGAAGGUCUUCGGAUCGUAAAACUCUGUUAUUAGGGAAGAACAAAUGUGUAAGUAACUAUGCACGUCUUGACGGUACCUAAUCAGAAAGCCACGGCUAACUACGUG
rnacentral:rRNA from 1 species